CCGUCGUAGACUUGGCCCAAAAGGAAUUCGGGGCCUAUGUAUUGGCCCCCUUCGACAUGCGAGGCUGCAUGUUCUAAAAGCGAAAGGAAAAUGAUGCUCUAUUUUAAUUAAAGCCGAUUAUUAACCAUCCCGGAUUAUGUUUGUAACUCCAUAUGAUAUGUGAGUUACGAUAACAACCAGAGAAAUCAGGAGAAAGUGCAAGAAAUCAACAACCAAAAGGAAAUAACUCAAUUUAUGCGCAAUUUAUAUGUUAUUAUAGAUAAUAAUUAGGCAUAAUAACUGAAUUAAUUGAGUUAUUUAAAUGACAAGAAUGACGUUUAAGUUGACAUUUCGAACUUGAAAAUUGGAAAAUUUAAUUAUCUUUUAAGGUAAGUUCUUUUUAUGAUUAAAUUAAAAUAAUAUUAAUUUAA